AACGAACGCUGGCGGCAUGCCUAACACAUGCAAGUCGAACGAACUCUUCGGAGUUAGUGGCGCACGGGUGCGUAACGCGUGGGAAUCUGCCCUUGGGUACGGAAUAACUCAGAGAAAUUUGUGCUAAUACCGUAUAAUGACUUCGGUCCAAAGAUUUAUCGCCCAAGGAUGAGCCCCGCGUAAGAUUAGCUAGUUGGUGGGGUAAAAAGCCUACCAAGGCGACGAUCUUUAGCUGGUCUGAGAGGAUGAUCAGCCACACUGGGACUGAGACACGGCCCAGACUCCUACGGGAGGCAGCAGUGGGGAAUAUUGGACAAUGGGCGAAAGCCUGAUCCAGCAAUGCCGCGUGAGUGAUGAAGGCCUUAGGGUUGUAAAGCUCUUUUACCCGGGAUGAUAAUGACAGUACCGGGAGAAUAAGCUCCGGCUAACUCCGUGCCAGCAGCCGCGGUAAU
rnacentral:rRNA from 1 species